CCUACGGGAGGCAGCAGUGGGGAAUUUUGGACAAUGGGCGAAAGCCUGAUCCAGCAAUGCCGCGUGUGGGAAGAAGGCCUUCGGGUUGUAAACCACUUUUGUACGGAACGAAACGGUUCGCUUUAAUACAGUGGGCUAAUGACGGUACCGUAAGAAUAAGCACCGGCUAACUACGUGCCAGCAGCCGUGGUAAUACGUAGGGUGCGAGCGUUAAUCGGAAUUACUGGGCGUAAAGCGUGCGCAGGCGGUUAUAUAAGACAGUUGUGAAAUCCCCGGGCUCAACCUGGGAAUUGCAUCUGUGACUGUAUAGCUAGAGUACGGUAGAGGGGGAUGGAAUUCCGCGUGUAGCAGUGAAAUGCGUAGAUAUGCGGAGGAACACCGAUGGCGAAGGCAAUCCCCUGGACCUGUACUGACGCUCAUGCACGAAAGCGUGGGGAGCAAACAGGAUUAGAUACCCUGGUAGUCCACGCCCUAAACGAUGUCAACUGGUUGUUGGGUGCAUUAGUACUCAGUAACGAAGCUAACGCGUGAAGUUGACCGCCUGGGGAGUACGGCCGCAAGGUUGAAACUCAAAUGAAUUGACGG
rnacentral:rRNA from 1 species